CGGAGUUUCCUCCACAAUACUGCAGUCAGCAAUUUGUCAUCCUCAAAUAAUCUUUCAACAAUAUACACGGAUAGCCAAUUACACAAAUCGCUGUGCAGAGUAGCGUCCCCUGGGAACAACAAAAACCUAAUACAGAGAAGGCUUACCAUAUCGGACCUCCUCAGCACAGAUCCCAACACCACUUACUCAUCUCCUUUACAUGGAUGACAUCGAGCUCCUUGCCAAAGGAGAUACCAAUUUGAAAGAACAGGUCCUCCUUGUUGAGUCCUUUUUGUGUACCUUUGCACAUAUGUUUUAUCGGAUGAUCCUCUGGAGACUAUGUCAAGAUUCAUGAUGAAAGCAAGGAAUUCCACGUCUAUUCUAAUCGUGCCAAGGUUAUUGGAUGAAUCUGAAAUUUGAGGUUGCGUUUGUUGAUGGCGAUGUACUGCUGGGCGGUACAGCGAUGGGAGUAAACCAGGUGAAGUCCUUCAGCAAGUCUUCCCAGAGUCCGUCAUUGAACAGAAGCUUUCUGAGAAACCAUUGCAUCGUGUAUAUAUGCAGUGUGUAAAACAAAAUAGCAGUCCAAUCGACUCCUUCGCCUGGAUAAAGUCGGCUGGUCUUAAAUGUGAAACAGAGGGGUUCCUGUUUGCUGCCCAAGACCAGUCACUUUCCAGUCGCAAUCGCCAAAAUGUGAUUUUAUAAGAAAAUAUUAACAUGAAAUGUCGAUUAUGCAUUGAAUUUACAGAGUACAGCACCUUGUCAGUGGAUGUCCUUCCUUGGCACAACAGCAUAUCGUAAACGGCAUGAUGGCAUGGCUCGUUGCUUUUACUACUGUCUUCGCCAUGCCUGUGGCUUUGACUCUGAGGUUCUUCCAUUGUACGACCCUACACAUGCCCAGGGCGUUAUCGAAAAUGAUGCUUUUAAACUUCUUUGGAAUAUGCCAAUAUACAGCCAACAAACCCAUUCUUGUCCUGUUUUAUAAAGCCUAUGAAUUUA